UGCAAGUCGAACGAGCGAGAGAAAGCUUGCUUUCUCGAGCGAGUGGCGAACGGGUGAGUAACGCGUGAGGAACCUGCCUCAAAGAGGGGGACAACAGUUGGAAACGACUGCUAAUACCGCAUAAGCCCACGGCUCGGCAUCGAGCAGAGGGAAAAGGAGCAAUCCGCUUUGAGAUGGCCUCGCGUCCGAUUAGCUAGUUGGUGAGGUAACGGCCCACCAAGGCGACGAUCGGUAGCCGGACUGAGAGGUUGAACGGCCACAUUGGGACUGAGACACGGCCCAGACUCCUACGGGAGGCAGCAGUGGGGAAUAUUGCACAAUGGGGGAAACCCUGAUGCAGCGACGCCGCGUGGAGGAAGAAGGUCUUCGGAUUGUAAACUCCUGUUGUUGGGGAAGAUAAUGACGGUACCCAACAAGGGAGUGACGGCUAACUACGUGCCAGCAGCCGCGGUAAAACGUAGGUCACAAGCGUUGUCCGGAAUUACUGGGUGUAAAGGGAGCGCAGGCGGGAAGACAAGUUGGAAGUGAAAUCUAUGGGCUCAACCCAUAAACUGCUUUCAAAACUGUUUUUCUUGAGUAGUGCAGAGGUAGGCGGAAUUCCCGGUGUAGCGGUGGAAUGCGUAGAUAUCGGGAGGAACACCAGUGGCGAAGGCGG
rnacentral:rRNA from 1 species